rnacentral:rRNA from 1 species
AACGAACGCUGGCGGCAUGCCUAACACAUGCAAGUCGAACGAGACCUUCGGGUCUAGUGGCGCACGGGUGCGUAACGCGUGGGAACCUGCCCUUAGGUUCGGAAUAACUCCCCGAAAGGGGUGCUAAUACCGGAUAAUGUCUUCGGACCAAAGAUUUAUCGCCUUUGGAUGGGCCCGCGUUGGAUUAGCUAGUUGGUAGGGUAAAAGCCUACCAAGGCGACGAUCCAUAGCUGGUCUGAGAGGAUGAUCAGCCACACUGGGACUGAGACACGGCCCAGACUCCUACGGGAGGCAGCAGUGGGGAAUAUUGGACAAGGGGCGAAAGCCUGAUACAGCAAUGCCGCGUGAGUGAUGAAGGCCUUAGGGUUGUAAAGCUCUUUUACCCGGGAUGAUAAUGACAGUACCGGGAGAAUAAGCUCCGGCUAACUACGUG